UCUCCGUAGGUGAACCUGCGGAGGGAUCAUUACAAGUGACCCCGGUCUCACCACCGGGAUGUUCAUAACCCUUUGUUGUCCGACUCUGUUGCCUCCGGGGCGACCCUGCCUUCGGGCGGGGGCUCCGGGUGGACACUUCAAACUCUUGCGUAACUUUGCAGUCUGAGUAAACUUAAUUAAUAAAUUAAAACUUUUAACAACGGAUCUCUUGGUUCUGGCAUCGACGAAGAACGCAGC
rnacentral:misc_RNA from 1 species